rnacentral:rRNA from 1 species
GACGAACGCUGGCGGCGUGCUUAACACAUGCAAGUCGAACGGAAAGGCCCCUUCGGGGGUACUCGAGUGGCGAACAGGUGAGUAACACGUGAGUAACCUGCCCUUGACUUCGGGAUAACUUCAGGAACCUGGGGCUAAUACCGGAUAGGAAUCCUUGCUGCAUGGUGGGGGUUGGAAAGCUUCGGCGGUUUUGGAUGGACUCGCGGCUUAUCAGCUUGUUGGUGGGGUAGUGGCUUACCAAGGCGUUGACGGGUAGCCGGCCUGAGAGGGCGACCGGCCACAUUGGGACUGAGAUACGGCCCAGACUCCUACGGGAGGCAGCAGUGGGGAAGAUUGCACAAUGGGCGGAAGCCUGAUGCAGCAACGCCGCGGGCGGGAUGACGGCCUUCGGGUUGUAAACCGCUUUCAGCAGGGGCGAAGCUUGUGGUGACGGUACCUGCAGAAGAAGCACCGGCUAACUACGUG